rnacentral:piRNA from 1 species
UGAUAAGGUGUUAUAAUAAGCAGAUGUU